rnacentral:lncRNA from 1 species
GAUCUACCUGGACAUUUACAAGGGCAGUUCCAGCUAAUUGAAACAUUAGAGACCCACCAGGAAUCGAGCCCCUGAUGAAGGGGUCAGGAUGAGAGACUCUGUGAUCUCAGCAACACCCAGAUGUUGGUCUGGCUGAUGUUCCAUGAGGACAGUAAACUUGGGAGUUUCUGAAGAUCUGGACCUGAUGGGAUCUGGGCCCCCACAACCUGGUAGACCGUGAUGCUGAGAUGAUUACUAAAAGUGGACCAGCAACCAAAUGAAGUGCUCAUGCAAUUGAAAUUGCCUUGAGGAUACAGCCUUGGGACAAUCUCUUUGGGAGUUCCUGAAGAUCUGGACCUGACGGAGUUUAGCCCCAACAACCCUGAGAACAGCAUCUUUCCAAGGAACUACCCACCCAUCAUUUUGUUGGAAAUUCUGCGUAAUGUGUGAGGACUUCAUGAGGCUGUGUCCUUGGUCUAUAUCUCCAGCCUGGCAACAUAAGAGUCUCCGUUCCCAAAGAAAGCCCAAUACUGAAUGUCACCAAGAGAAUGAUAAUCACCAAAGCAUCCAGGACAAAGGCAUGAAAAAGAAGGCAAUUAAAAGAAUCAGCAACUUGCUUCAGGUCCAUUCAGACAUGAAAUAAAGGUAGGCAGCAUUGGCCUUGCCUUUUCUUGAGAUUUUGUAUUGACUUUGACCUAAAUGCUAACUUGUUUUCUGCCAUGACUGCCUGGGUACAAUGACUUUCAUGUUAGUAACCAGUCAUAGUCUCCCUUGUCCCGACAGUGAGUCAAUCACAAGUGCAGUGUGGGCAUUCAGGACCUCUUCAUGUCUAG